rnacentral:rRNA from 1 species
AUUGAACGCUGGCGGCAGGCCUAACACAUGCAAGUCGAGCGAGCGGCGGACGGGUGAGUAAUGUCUGGGAAACUGCCGGAUGGAUGGGGAUAACUACUGGAAACGGUUGCUAAUACCGCAUACCAUCAGAUGUGCCCAUGUGGGUUUAGCUAGUAGGGGGGGUAAUGGCUCACCUAGGCGACGAUGCCUAGCGGGUCUGAGAGGAUGACCAGCCAAACGGGAACUGAGACACGGCCCAGACUCCUACGGGAGGCAGCAGUGGGGAAUAUUGCACAAUGGGCGCAAGCCUGAUGCAGCAAUGCCGCGUGUGUGAAGAAGGCCUUCGGGUUGUAAAGCACUUUCAGCGGGGAGGCGUUACCCGCAGAGGAAGCACCGGCUAACUCCGUGCCAGCAGCCGCGGUAAUUC